rnacentral:tRNA from 1 species
GCCUGGGUGGCUCAGUCGGUUAAGCGUCUGACUUUGGCUGAGGUCACGAUCUCACAGUUUGUGGGUUCGAACCCUGCAUCAGGCU